rnacentral:rRNA from 1 species
GACGAACCGUGCGAACGUUGUUCGGAUUCACUGGGCUUAAAGGGCGCGUAGGCGGGCAUCCGCGUCCGGGGUGAAAUCCUUCGGCCCAACCGAAGAAUUGCCUCGGAUACGGGGUGCCUCGAGGGAGGUAGGGGCGCGUGGAACUUCCGGUGGAGCGGUGAAAUGCGUAGAUAUCGGAAGGAACGCCGGUGGCGAAAGCGACGCGCUGGACCUCUACUGACGCUGAGGCGCGAAAGCCAGGGGAGCGAACGGG